UACGUAGGGGCAAGCGUUAUCCGGAUUCACUGGGUUUAAAGGGUGCGUAGGUGGGCAGGUAAGUCAGUGGUGAAAUCUCCGGGCUUAACCCGGAACUGCCGUUGAUACUAUCUGUCUUGAAUAUCCUGGAGGUGAGCGGAAUAUGUCAUGUAGCGGUGAAAUGCUUAGAUAUGACAUAGAACACCAAUUGCGAAGGCAGCUCACUACGGGAUCAUUGACACUGAGGCACGAAAGCGUGGGGAUCAAACAGG
rnacentral:rRNA from 1 species